rnacentral:rRNA from 1 species
GACGUAGGGUGCAAGCGUUGUCCGGAUUUAUUGGGCGUAAAGAGCUCGUAGGCGGCUUGUUGCGUCGACUGUGAAAACCCGCGGCUUAACCGCGGGCUUGCAGUUGAUACGGGCAGGCUAGAGUUCGGUAGGGGAGACUGGAAUUCCUGGUGUAGCGGUGAAAUGCGCAGAUAUCAGGAGGAACACCGGUGGCGAAGGCGGCUUCCUGGACCGACACUGACGCUGAGGCGCGAAAGCUAGGGGAGCAAACAGG